rnacentral:rRNA from 1 species
GAGUCGAGCGAAUGACGAGGAGCUUGCUCCUCUGAUUUAGCGGCGGACGGGUGAGUAACACGUGGGCAACCUGCCCUGCAGACUGGGAUAACUUCGGGAAACCGGAGCUAAUACCGGAUAAUCCAUUUUACUUCAUGGUGAAAUGUUGAAAGGCGCUUUCGCGCCACUGCAGGAUGGGCCCGCGGUGCAUUAGCUAGUUGGUGGGGUAACGGCCUACCAAGGCGACGAUGCAUAGCCGACCUGAGAGGGUGAUCGGCCACAUUGGGACUGAGACACGGCCCAAACUCCUACGGGAGGCAGCAGUAGGGAAUCUUCCACAAUGGACGAAAGUCUGAUGGAGCAACGCCGCGUGAGUGAUGAAGGUUUUCGGAUCGUAAAACUCUGUUGUAAGGGAAGAACAAGUACGUUAGGAAAUGAACGUACCUUGACGGUACCUUAUUAGAAAGCCACGGCUAACUACGUGCCAGCAGCCGCGGUAAUACGUAGGUGGCAAGCGUUGUCCGGAUUUAUUGGGCGUAAAGCGCGCGCAGGUGGUUUCUUAAGUCUGAUGUGAAAUCUCGCGGCUCAACCGCGAGCGGUCAUUGGAAACUGGGGAACUUGAGUGCAGAAGAGGAUAGUGGAAUUCCAAGUGUAGCGGUGAAAUGCGUAGAGAUUUGGAGGAACACCAGUGGCGAAGGCGACUGUCUGGUCUGUAACUGACACUGAGGCGCGAAAGCGUGGGGAGCAAACAGGAUUAGAUACCCUGGUAGUCCACGCCGUAAACGAUGAGUGCUAAGUGUUAGGGGGUUUCCGCCCCUUAGUGCUGCAGCUAACGCAUUAAGCACUCCGCCUGGGGAGUACGACCGCAAGGUUGAAACUCAAAGGAAUUGACGGGGGCCCGCACAAGCGGUGGAGCAUGUGGUUUAAUUCGAAGCAACGCGAAGAACCUUACCAGGUCUUGACAUCCCAGUGACCGCUCUAGAGAUAGAGUUUUCCCUUCGGGACAUUGGUGACAGUGGUGCAUGGUUGUCGUCAGCUCGUGUCGUGAGAUGUUGGUUAAGUCCCGCAACGAGCGCAACCCUUGAUCUUAGUUGCCAUCAUUUAGUUGGGCACUCUAAGUGACUGCCGGUGACAACCGGAGAAGUG